UACGGAGGAUCCAAGCGUUAUCCGGAAUUACUGGGCGUAAAGAGUUGCGUAGGUGGCAUGGUAAGCGAGUAGUGAAAGCGUUCGGCUCAACCGAAUAUACAUUGCUCGAACUGCCAAGCUUGAGGACGAGAGAGGUACCUGGAAUUCCCAGUGUAGGAGUGAAAUCCGUAGAUAUUGGGAGGAACACCGAUGGCGUAGGCAGGGUACUGGCUCGUUCCUGACACUAAGGCACGAAAGCGUGGGGA
rnacentral:rRNA from 1 species